rnacentral:rRNA from 1 species
UGAGGAAUAUUGGACAAUGGGUGAGAGCCUGAUCCAGCCAUCCCGCGUGAAGGACGACGGCCCUAUGGGUUGUAAACUUCUUUUGUAUAGGGAUAAACCUUUCCACGUGUGGAAAGCUGAAGGUACUAUACGAAUAAGCACCGGCUAACUCCGUGCCAGCAGCCGCGGUAAUACGGAGGGUGCAAGCGUUAUCCGGAUUUAUUGGGUUUAAAGGGUCCGUAGGCGGAUCUGUAAGUCAGUGGUGAAAUCUCAUAGCUUAACUAUGAAACUGCCAUUGAUACUGCAGGUCUUGAGUAAAGUAGAAGUGGCUGGAAUAAGUAGUGUAGCGGUGAAAUGCAUAGAUAUUACUUAGAACACCAAUUGCGAAGGCAGGUCACUAUGUUUUAACUGACGCGGAUGGACGAAAGCGUGGGGAGCGAACAGG